CCAAGGCAGCUCCAUGUUUGUCCAGAAACUCUCUCCUGGCGCCCCCAGGGCACAGCUUGCAUGGCUCCGCCCGCAACGGGCGGCAACAGGCUUUAAAGCACCAACAAACAGCAAGGGCAAAGGUUGAAUUUUCACAGUUCCUGCCAAGAGUUAGACCUGCAACCUCAGCACAGCUGAGAUGAGAGGCUGAAGUUCCAGGCACUCAUUUUUGGUGCUUUGCUCAAAGCUAUUUGCACAUCGAUGAAAGCCUUUGGUUUCUGAAGACAGCUCACUGCUUACACCUGGACCUUCCACCCCACACUCAGCUGGAAGCGUGGAAUCAUUUCCAAAGCCAAGCUGAGUUACAGGUGCGCAGCAGCUCUUCAGACAACUCACACGUGGGCAGUUUGCAAAUCCCCCAGCCAUUUGCUUUCCAUGGGAUCCCAAAGCCUUUGUGCAUGCCCCCUCCCUUGGCCAGAAGCCAGCCCUUGGAAAGGGCACUGCGGCGGGUCCCUGCCCAGCGCCCCGUGGGCACCACUGGCAGCUCCUCAGGGCACCAGACAGAGGGCAAGGCAGAGGUCCUGAGGGGACUCACCAGCUCCUGGGGCACCCACGACCCCCAAAGUGCACACAGAUCACAGCAUUUAAAUGCAGGGGAGGAAUUAAGACUUCAGUAAAACUGGUUUAAUUUCAAUUCAGCUGGAAGUGAACACAGAAAUUCCUUCUCACCAUCAUCCUGACUUCUUAUUGAGUGUCCAGCCCAGCCUUCAGCCUGCUCUCUUCCCUGGCUGUGACUCCUCAAGGAGCCCAGCACUUUACUGGGUGAGGGCACCCAAGUUUCCAGUAUCCAUAACAAGCCAAGUUUGGAAAGGAACUGCCCAAGAAAACCCUAGCAACACUUCCUGAUGUAUCCUUAGUGAUAAAUCCUGCUCCCAUGUAAGAAAUUUGCUACAUGCCUGGAAUCCUUCUGUACCUUCCAGGUAAUAUUAAAUGAGACCAGGAGGCUCCUGAAGACUUUGAGAGCAGAAUUGUGAAUGAAGAUCCCUUGAGAGAUAUGAAAAUUGUAUGGAAGAUUUUGAAGCUGCAGAGGGGGAAAAGCCAAGUGACCCAAGGAGGUUAAUGUGCCCCCUUCCUCCCUCCCCUUUGCAGCAGGGAAUGGGUAAAACCCUCUGAGAAUCUGCACCAAAUCCAGGUCAUCUGCUCUGCAAAACAAUGAUGUGCUCACCUGCAGAGAGGUCACAGAGAUACCCAGAGCAGCAAUGCUCCAAAGGCUUCUCUGCACUCCAGCAGAAACAGACAGGGAAUAAAGAUGUGUGCUUGCAAUCAAAUUAUCCCUUCAAAGAAAUAACAAUAAAUGCUGAACUUCCCAAUUACAGGGGACAUACAAACCUUGGAAACCAUUAAGAACCACUUCUUCUGUUGAUGAAUUAUCCAGAGUGCACAGAGUUAUUUGCUGAGCUUCACUGUACUAUGCUAAUUAUAAAUUAAUAUAUUACUCAUUACACAGUCAGGCUCUACAGUCAACUAAUGCAGUGCUGCAAAGAACCUGUUUUAAAACAUCCUCUGGUACUUUUAUGAUCUAGAUGUUUAAUUUAGUUCUGUUCUGGCUUAAAUGCAACCAACAUGUCAUUCUUUCACAAAGAAAUAUCUCUGGCUCCAUCCUACCUCCUCUGGGGCUCAGCAGCAUAGAUGAAAGAGGAAACUUAGAAAGGCUUUUUUGAUGCUAAGCAGUUACAUGAGAAAUUAACUAAAAUAGCAUAAUUUAAGACCAAUUCCUGUGUUACUGAUUUUAAAAUCACUGUUUAUCAUGGCAGCAUGCUGGAGUGCUCCACAUGAAGCUGUGUCCAGGGAAGGUGAGGACCUGACACCCCCAUGCUCAGGGGUAACUUUGGGUGAGAUGGGGAGACAGGAAAGCAUGAAUAUCCCAGGCAGGACCCCCAGAGGGAUGGGGAGAGCGAAGGGCAGAGCUGCUGGCACCUGAAGUGGCUGUUUAUUGGCAUUAGUCUGACUCAGCCUACAACAUCUGCAUCCCCAGGCCUUGUGCCAGGCAACCUUGUGAAGAGGAACAUCAGCCUGCAGAUAAGGAGAAAACUUUACAUGAAUCUGUCUGGCAGGAUGAAUAGGGGGAAAUGGAGCCCUCUUCCUUGGAAAACAGUCUUUAACAUGGCAUUGUUUCAGGGAGCAUUCCUGCAGAAAUGUGUUUAUUUGUCAGACCAUUCUUUCCAUGCUGUGCUCAACAUAACGGAAACAACAAAUACCGAGCAGGGUCACAGAAGUCAGUCUGGAAACUGCCAAUUCAUUCUUUCCAAGGAAAGCAUCUUGGUGACUCAGCAGUACGGGGCAGAUUGGCAGUCCCACAGCAGAGAGACACAUUCCCUGGAGAAUCCAGUGAUUUUCAGCCUUAAUAACACCGUGAUUUUGCACUCAGAAUAUCUAAGAGCACCCCAUGCAUGACCAGCAGCUGGACAGGGAUGCUGUGAGGGGAAGGCAUCAGGAGCUGAGGAGAGGACCCAUGAAUGCUGGAGAGGAGCUAGAAGGGUGUUGGCCUCAGGCUGGAAGGGUUGGUUUGGAAGGAACCUUAAAGAUCCAGAAGGGUGCUUAACGCCCCCAGAAGGGACCUUAAAGAUAACCUAGUUCCUAUCCCCAC